AGGCAGCAGUGAGGAAUAUUGGACAAUGGAGGUAACUCUGAUCCAGCCAUGCCGCGUGCAGGAAGACUGCCCUAUGGGUUGUAAACUGCUUUUAUACAGGAAGAAACACUGCUACGUGUAGCAGCUUGACGGUACUGUAAGAAUAAGGAUCGGCUAACUCCGUGCCAGCAGCCGCGGUAAUACGGAGGAUCCAAGCGUUAUCCGGAAUCAUUGGGUUUAAAGGGUCCGUAGGUGGAUAAUUAAGUCAGAGGUGAAAUCCUGCAGCUCAACUGUAGAAUUGCCUUUGAUACUGGUUAUCUUGAGUUAUUAUGAAGUAGUUAGAAUAUGUAGUGUAGCGGUGAAAUGCAUAGAUAUUACAUAGAAUACCAAUUGCGAAGGCAGAUUACUAAUAAUAUACUGACACUGAUGGACGAAAGCGUGGGGAGCGAACAGGAUUAGAUACCCUGGUAGUCCACGCCGUAAACGAUGGUCACUAGCUGUUCGGACUUCGGUUUGAGUGGCUAAGCGAAAGUGAUAAGUGACCCACCUGGGGAGUACGUUCGCAAGAAUGAAACUCAAAGGAAUUGACGGGGGCCCGCACAAGCGGUGGAGCAUGUGGUUUAAUUCGAUGAUACGCGAGGAACCUUACCAGGGCUUAAAUGUAAAUUGACAGGUUUAGAGAUAGACUUUUCUUCGGACAAUUUACAAGGUGCUGCAUGGUUGUCGUCAGCUCGUGCCGUGAGGUGUCAGGUUAAGUCCUAUAACGAGCGCAACCCCUGUUGUUAGUUGCCAGCGAUUUAAGUCGGGAACUCUAACAAGACUGCCAGUGCAAACUGUGAGGAAGGUGGGGAUGACGUCAA
rnacentral:rRNA from 1 species